ensembl:lncRNA
AAAAAAAAAUACGGGGACCGAGAGCAGAAACACCUUUCUCAUGGAACUGUGGUUUCGAGGACAUCCCAUAAUUACACCAGUCCAUGUGUGUGUGCAUGUAACGGGGACCAAGAUCUUGAAGCGGUUGUUUAUAUCCAGUGCUGCUGGAAGGUUUCGAGUCUUCUGUAUGUCUGCGUGAAUAUGAUCAGAACCAUCAUCAGAUCUGCGAGUGGCAAAGGACUCGUGUGAAAAUCCGACGAUGUUUCAGGUCACAUUCAUGCAGAUGUUUGUGGAAAAUGAUAACUUUCAACUUCCAAGCACCACCGAAGGUCGCAGACCCUUUAAAUCCAGAGAAAUGGAGUGUGACCGUGUCUGAAGGCCACCGCCACUGGAGACCUUCACCGAUACAGCGUGGUUUCCCCCUAUACAGGGGCUUAUUACCAUGGAAA